AAUAGAUAAAUCAGAUCAAAAUUAAUCACUAUAAUUUUACGCCGUAGAAAACUGGAAAAGAUGAAUUCAAGUAAAUUUACUCAAACCUUGAUCAAGCUUUUUAAACACCGUGAUGAGACGGGUGAGGCGAGAGAAGAACUGUAUGGAAGAAUCCAACUGGAAAUUUUCCCAACUAUGUUUAAGACUGGCGGUGGUCCCAAGCCCAAAGAUGCCGAAAUUGAUGACUUGAGCCAAGAAAUUGUCAACGCUACUGGAAGGACCCUCACCAUACCCAAUCCUUAUGAUUGUAGAGAGGAAGAUAACUCUGGAGGGACAAUUUGACGAAUGAAUGAGGGAGUGAAAGUGAGAUUGCCAACAACGAAGGAGCCAGAAGUGAUGCUCUCGCAUUGGAACCAGCUGGAGACUCUUCUAGCGUUCUCCCUGUGGUUCAUGGUCCUACAAGCCUUUCUGUUUCCGGACGUGCCAAUUCAUCACGACGGAAAAAUCGCACCCAAGAGACAGCAGCAGGGGAAGAGGUCCAGAACUUUGUAAGAACAGCCAAGGCAAGCAGGGUGGAAAAAUCUGAGAGCAAGAGAGGACUGUAUAGACUUCCAUCUUUGAAAAAGAGGCAUCGCUCAAAUCACUCAAGCAAGCGUGACAUUGAAAGUCCCAAUUGGAAUUUGAGACCGAAAGGAAAACGUUAGUGUCCAUCCAACAAGAAGACCCAAAAUUCAAGGCUAAGAUUGUCAAGAUUGAAUUUGCUGCCAAAAAGGUGGAGAUUCAAAGGAAACUCAAU